rnacentral:rRNA from 1 species
CAUACGGGUGGCUGCAGUGGGGAAUAUUGGACAAUGGGCGAAAGCCUGAUCCAGCCAUGCCGCGUGUGUGAAGAAGGCCUUCGGGUUGUAAAGCACUUUCAGUGGGGAAGAAAGCCUUGGGGCUAAUACCCUCGAGGAAGGACAUCACCCACAGAAGAAGCACCGGCUAACUCCGUGCCAGCAGCCGCGGUAAUACGGAGGGUGCGAGCGUUAAUCGGAAUUACUGGGCGUAAAGCGCGCGUAGGCGGCCUGAUAAGCCGGUUGUGAAAGCCCCGGGCUCAACCUGGGAACGGCAUCCGGAACUGUCAGGCUAGAGUGCAGGAGAGGAAGGUAGAAUUCCCGGUGUAGCGGUGAAAUGCGUAGAGAUCGGGAGGAAUACCAGUGGCGAAGGCGGCCUUCUGGACUGACACUGACGCUGAGGUGCGAAAGCGUGGGUAGCAAACAGGAUUAGAUACCCCGGUAGUC